AGAGUUUGAUCAUGGCUCAGAUUGAACGCUGGCGGCAGGCCUAACACAUGCAAGUCGAACGGUAACAUUUCUAGCUUGCUAGAAGAUGACGAGUGGCGGACGGGUGAGUAAUGCUUGGGAACUUGCCUUUGCGAGGGGGAUAACAGUUGGAAACGACUGCUAAUACCGCAUAAUGUCUUCGGACCAAACGGGGCUUCGGCUCCGGCGCAAAGAGAGGCCCAAGUGAGAUUAGCUAGUUGGUAAGGUAACGGCUUACCAAGGCGACGAUCUCUAGCUGUUCUGAGAGGAAGAUCAGCCACACUGGGACUGAGACACGGCCCAGACUCCUACGGGAGGCAGCAGUGGGGAAUAUUGCACAAUGGGGGAAACCCUGAUGCAGCCAUGCCGCGUGUGUGAAGAAGGCCUUCGGGUUGUAAAGCACUUUCAGUUGUGAGGAAAAGUUAGUAGUUAAUACCUGCUAGCCGUGACGUUAACAACAGAAGAAGCACCGGCUAACUCCGUGCCAGCAGCCGCGGUAAUACGGAGGGUGCGAGCGUUAAUCGGAAUUACUGGGCGUAAAGCGCACGCAGGCGGUUUGUUAAGCUAGAUGUGAAAGCCCCGGGCUCAACCUGGGAUGGUCAUUUAGAACUGGCAGACUAGAGUCUUGGAGAGGGGAGUGGAAUUCCAGGUGUAGCGGUGAAAUGCGUAGAUAUCUGGAGGAACAUCAGUGGCGAAGGCGACUCCCUGGCCAAAGACUGACGCUCAUGUGCGAAAGUGUGGGUAGCGAACAGGAUUAGAUACCCUGGUAGUCCACACCGUAAACGCUGUCUACUAGCUGUUUGUGACUUUAAGUCGUGAGUAGCGAAGCUAACGCGCUAAGUAGACCGCCUGGGGAGUACGGCCGCAAGGUUAAAAC
rnacentral:rRNA from 1 species